ensembl:lncRNA
GUCCUUAUAUCUGUACUGUGUCUGAGACUACCUAGACAUCAGGUCCUUAUAUCUGUACUGUGUCUGAGACUACCUAGACAUCAGGUCCUAUUUGGUCUAUACUGGUUUAAAGACUAUACUGGUCACUAUUUGGUCUAUACUGGUUUAAAGACUAUACUGGUCACAAGUCUAUACUGGUUUAAAUACUAUACUAGUUUAAAGGCUAUUCUGGUCACUAGUUGGUCUGUACUGGUUUAAAGACUAUUCUCGUCACUAUUUGGUCUAUACUAGUUUAAAGACUAAUCUGGUCACUAGUUGGUCUAUACCGGUUUAUUCUUUGCCAUUGUAAUGAAAAUGUUGUGCGACAAUCCAUCUGUUUUGUCAUCUUGUGGGACCUUGUUGUCUUGUGUGUGCCUACAUGUAAUCCUGAACAAAUCACUGACGCCUAUACAGUCAAUGUAGAACACUGGAAAUCAGCUAUUACUAUUCUGGAUGUGUCUGUCUGUACAAGAUGUUAAGAAUAGCAAUAGUCGC